CGACGCUGGCGGCGUGCCUAACACAUAGCAAAGUCGAACGGGAACUGGAAGUCAGAACUGAGAGGUUGGAGGGAAGAAGGAAAGCUUUCCGACCUCCGACCUCUGACCUCUGAUUUCCAGUUAGUGGCGGACGGGUGAGUAACGCGUGAGCAACCUGCCUUACAGAGGGGGAUAACACACCGAAAAGGUGUGCUAAUACCGCAUGAAAUGAGGGGGAUGGCAUCAUUUCCUCAUCAAAGAUUUAUCGCUGUAAGAUGGGCUCGCGUCCGAUUAGAUAGUUGGCGGGGUAACGGCCCACCAAGUCUGCGAUCGGUAGCCGGACUGAGAGGUUGAACGGCCACAUUGGGACUGAGAUACGGCCCAGACUCCUACGGGAGGCAGCAGUGGGGAAUAUUGCGCAAUGGGGGGAACCCUGACGCAGCAACGCCGCGUGAAGGAAGAAGGCCUUCGGGUUGUAAACUUUUGUCUUUGGUGACGAUAAUGACGGUAGCCAGAGAGGAAGCCACGGCUGACUACGUG
rnacentral:rRNA from 1 species